rnacentral:rRNA from 1 species
GAGACCGAGGAUAACUGGAUUUGGUUUAUGCAACAACUGCAUAGGGCAAUAGGACAUCUUCAAACUCUAGCUGUUUGUACUGAUGCAUGCAAAGGGUUAGAGAAUGCAGUUAAAAUUGUGUUUCCCCAAGCUGAGCAAAGAGAAUGCUUUAGGCAUCUGAUGGCAAACUUAAAAAAAUUCCAUGGAGAUGUUCUUAGUUGCAUGCGGCCAGCAGCCAAGGCUUACCGUCUGGAAACAUUUAACUAUCAUAUGGGCAAGAUAUUUGAAGCUGAACCUGCAGUGAGUGCCUACUUGUGUACCUAUCAUAACUUAAAGUGGAUGAGAUGUGACUUCAACACAGAAAUCAAAUGUGAUUACAUUCACAAUAAUCUGGCCGAGUGCUUCAAUAGUUGGAUCAAAGGAACAAAGGAGCUGCCCAUGGAUGAGCUAGCCGAUACAAUAAGAGAGAACAUUAUGAUACUUGUUUAUAGAAGGAGAAGAAUUGGGGAAAUGCUCCAGGGAAAGAUGUUGCCUGCCAUCAUUCAACAAAUAAAUAAUAGAACUAGGCAACUUGACCAUUUGGUUGUUGAAAGAUCAACCGGAGAA